AGCAGUGUGGAAUGUGGAUGUGUGGUGUUUUACUGAUGAUAGUUUGGCUGUCAGCUGUGUAAUAUGAGGUAAUGCAUGUUCUUUGUACUUUUGUCCAUUUACUGUAUUUAUUUUUCCCAAUUUAAACUAUAAAAUGGUGAUUUUCUUGAGAGUACCCUUAAACUUUGUUUUUUAGAAGAAGAAAAAGCACUGGAUACAACUCUACAUCGAGAAAGGCAAACUGAAUUCUACUUUGUAUAUGCAGGUAGAUGUUUUUGUGGGUAGAAUUUAUUAAAUAUCACUCUGCCCCUGUGUACAGUCCAGGAAAGCUUUACCAUCUGGUUUUAUUGAACAGUGGAUAAAAAGCAUUUGGAAGAGUGUUGAGGCACAGAGUAUGUGCAACACUGUAACAGCCACAAACCCCUUCCUUCCUUCCUUCCUUCCUUCAAAAAAUCAUUGGUAUGUAAUGCAGUGAAAUGAAAGCUAAAGGAAACAUUCAUGAACUCUUGACUGUCACUAUAGCUGUUCCCUAUAAAGCAACCAAUAAAAUGAUACUAUAUAAUCUGGCUGUAUAGAGGUUUGCAGCAUUAGUCUCAUAAAACGGGAGAUACCUGGUAGGUAGGCAUGAUAUCUUUUAUGUAGCCAGCUUCACCAAGGUGUGUUUUUUUUCUUCUAGGAAAUGAAAUUUUUAAAAGCAGAUUUGUAGUUCAGCCACUGCAGAGUUAAAGUGAAAGGAUUUGGUGUUAUAUAAAGUAGGAUUUCUAUUCCAUACUCAGCCACCCCACCAGACCCAGAGCAAGAGGAAUCACAAG